rnacentral:lncRNA from 1 species
CGUAACGUUGCGCCCGUUCACUAUUUCAUUACCUAUCAAUGUGAUGCAGAGGAAGCAUUUUGUUCAGAUACGAAAAAAAACUGUAUUAGCCAAAAGAGGUAGGAAUCGGAUACAAUCUUAUACAGAUAGAGAGGAGAACUCAAUAUAGUGACCGUACAACCAAUUGCACAUUUGCAAUGAACUGCCUGCUCACGAGAAAAUAUUUCUCUCAUUCAACGGCAUUCAACAUGCUCCCAAAGGACAUACAUCCUGCUUUAUAUCACUGGGCAAGGGCACAAUAGACCCAAGGUCGCAGUGCAUACCUCAAGUAAUUCUAAUCACUGUCAAUCACCACUCCAUUGCCCACUAUUGAUUGGUCAGUACUCCCCAAAAGUCAAUGAAAUAAAGACAAACGACAGCUAAGAAUAAAAUAUUCAAGGUGCACCAAUAGGACUAAAAUGCAUCGAACUGAGAAUUCAAAAAGGUUGGCAAUAUCGAAAUGAAACUUGGCACGACCGUUGAGACGAUAACUGCAUUGUCAACAUGUUCCUAGCAUUACGGGGAUGGUGGAAAUGUAAUUAAUACACUUAAUAACCGUAUAAUCUGUAAAAAGUGGGAGUGACAGCGAAAGGAGAGAAUUCAGAUUUUCAAAAUUUUAUUAUUUUCAAAUAUGUAUAUAUUAAAUAUGUAUUGCAUAUAUUAAAUACGUAUAAGUCUGUACAAAAGUAGUAAAAAGUACUGCGAAGUUAAUGAAAUGAAAAGUUUACAAAUACAUUUCAAACAAAAGAAAUAAA